UACGUAGGGGGCAAGCGUUGUCCGGAUUUAUUGGGCGUAAAGAGCGUGUAGGCGGUCAGGUAGGUCCGUUGUGAAAACUCGAGGCUCAACCUCGAGACGCCGAUGGAAACCAUCUGACUAGAGUCCGGAAGAGAGAGUGAAUUCCUGGUGUAGCGUGAAAUGCGCAGAUAUCAGGAGAACACCAGCGGCGAAGGCAGCUCGCUGGACGUGACUGACGCUGAGACGCGAAAGCGUGAGGAGCAAACAG
rnacentral:rRNA from 1 species